CCUACGGGCGGCAGCAGUGAGGAAUAUUGGUCAAUGGACGAGAGUCUGAACCAGCCAAGUAGCGUGAAGGAUGACUGCCCUAUGGGUUGUAAACUUCUUUUAUAUGGGAAUAAAAUGUUCCACGUGUGGGCUUUUGUAUGUACCAUAUGAAUAAGGAUCGGCUAACUCCGUGCCAGCAGCCGCGGUAAUACGGAGGAUGCGAGCGUUAUCCGGAUUUAUUGGGUUUAAAGGGUGCGCAGGCGGAUUUUUAAGUCAGCGGUCAAAUCGUGGGGCUCAACCCCAUCCAGCCGUUGAAACUGGGGAUCUAGAGUGUGCGAGAGGUAUGCGGAAUGCGUGGUGUAGCGGUGAAAUGCAUAGAUAUCACGCAGAACCCCGAUUGCGAAGGCAGCAUACCGGUGCACAACUGACGCUCAGGCACGAAAGCGUGGGUAUCGAACAGGAUUAGAUACCCUUGUAGUC
rnacentral:rRNA from 1 species